GUGGGGAAUCUUCCGCAAUGGACGAAAGUCUGACGGAGCGACGCCGCGUGAGUGAAGAAGGCCUUCGGGUCGUAAAGCUCUGUCAUCAGGGACGAACGGCCGGUGGAGUGGAAAGCCACCGGAUUGACGGUACCUGAGAAGGAAGCCACGGCUAACUACGUGCCAGCAGCCGCGGUAAUACGUAGGUGGCAAGCGUUGUCCGGAAUUAUUGGGCGUAAAGCGCGCGCAGGUGGGAUCUUAAGUCCAUUUUUAAAGUUCGGAGCUCAACUCCGUGAUGGGAUGGAAACUGGGAUUCUUGGGUACCGGAGAGGAAAGCGGAAUUCCCCGUGUAGCGGUGAAAUGCGUAGAUAUGGGGAGGAACACCAGUGGCGAAGGCGGCUUUCUGGACGGUGUCUGACACUGAGGCGCGAAAGCCAGGGGAGCGAACGGGAUUAGAUACCCUUGUAGUCC
rnacentral:rRNA from 1 species